rnacentral:rRNA from 1 species
GAUGAACGCUGGCGGCGUGCCUAAUACAUGCAAGUCGAGCGAACAGACGAGGAGCUUGCUCCUCUGACGUUAGCGGUGGACGGGUGUGUAACACGUGGAUAACCUCCCUAUAAUACUGGUAUAACUUCGGGAAACCGGAGCUUAUACCGGAUAACAUGCUGAACCGCAUGGUUCAACAGUGAAAGACGGUCUUGCUGUCACUUAUAGAUGGAUCCGCGCCGCAUUAGCUAGUUGGUAAGGUAACGGCUUACCAAGGCAACGAUGCGUAGCCGACCUGAGAGGGUGAUCGGCCACACUGGAACUUAAACACGGUCCAGACGCCUACGGGAGGGAGCAGUAGGGAAUCUUCCGCAGUGGGCGAAAGCCUGACGGAACGACGCCGCGUGAGUGGAGAAGGUCUUCGGAGCGUAAAACUCUGUUAUGGGGGAAGAACAAAUGUGUAAGUAACUAUGCACGUCUUGACGGUACCUAAUCAGAAAGCCACGGCUAACUACGUG